AUUGAACGCUGGCGGCAGGCUUAACACAUGCAAGUCGAGCGGAGAUGAGGUGCUUGCACCUUAUCUUAGCGGCGGACGGGUGAGUAAUGCUUAGGAAUCUGCCUAUUAGUGGGGGACAACAUUCCGAAAGGAAUGCUAAUACCGCAUACGUCCUACGGGAGAAAGCAGGGGAUCUUCGGACCUUGCGCUAAUAGAUGAGCCUAAGUCGGAUUAGCUAGUUGGUGGGGUAAAGGCCUACCAAGGCGACGAUCUGUAGCGGGACUGAGAGGAUGAUCCGCCACACUGGGACUGAGACACGGCCCAGACUCCUACGGGAGGCAGCAGUGGGGAAUAUUGGACAAUGGGGGGAACCCAGAUCCAGCCAUGCCGCGUGUGUGAAGAAGGCCUUAUGGUUGUAAAGCACUUUAAGCGAGGAGGAGGCUACUGAGACUAAUACUCUUGGAUAGUGGACGUUACUCGCAUAAUAAGCACCGGCUAACUCUGUGCCAGCAGCCGCCGUAACAC
rnacentral:rRNA from 1 species